rnacentral:rRNA from 1 species
GAUGAACGCUAGCGGCAGGCUUAACACAUGCAAGUCGAGGGGCAGCAUAAACAUUGCUUGCAAUGUUUGAUGGCGACCGGCGCACGGGUGCGUAACGCGUAUGUAACCUACAAGAAGGAGGGGCAUAACACUGAGAAAUUGGUACUAAUUCCCCAUAACACUUAAGGAGGCAUCUCCUUAGGUUAAAAGUUCCGGCGGUUUGAGAUGGACACGCGUUGUAUUAGCUAGAUGGUGAGGUAACGGCUCACCAUGGCGACGAUACAUAGGGGGACUGAGAGGUUAACCCCCCACAUUGGUACUGAGACACUGAGCAAACUCCUACGGGAGGCAGCAGUGAGGAAUAUUGGUCAAUGGACGCAAGUCGGAACCUGCCAUGCCGCGUGCAGGAUGACGGCUCUAUGAGUUGUAAACUGCUUUUGUAUGAGGGUAAUAUCAGGUACGUGUACCUGCUCGAAAGUAUCUUACGAUUAAGGAUCGUCUAACUCCGUGCCAGCAGCCGCCGUAAGAC